rnacentral:rRNA from 1 species
AUGCAAGUCGAACGAACAUCUCGGAUGUUAGUGGCGAACGGGUGAAUAACACGUAAGUAACCAACCCAUUAGACGAGGAUAACUACUGGAAACGGUAGCUAAUACUGGAUGGGACGAAAGUUUUAAAGAUCCUUUAAAGGAUUACUAAUGGAUGGGCUUUGCGGCGCAUUAGCUAGUUGGUGGGGUAAGGGCCUACCAAGGCAGCGAUGCGUAGCCGACCUGAGAGGGUGACCGGCCACACUGGGACUGAGACACGGCCCAGACUCCUACGGGAGGCAGCAGUAGGGAAUCUUCGGCAAUGGACGAAAGUCUGACCGAGCAAUGCCGCGUGAGUGAAGAAGGUCUUCGGAUCGUAAAGCUCUGUUAUUAGGGAAGAAAAGAAUAAGAGGAAAUGCUUAUUUUGUGACGGUACCUAAUGAGAAAGCCACGGCUAACUACGUGCCAGCCGCAGC